ACGCCUUUCUCCCUCUUUUUUCUUCUUUCCUUUUCUUCCCUUUCUCGUAGGCGGCAAAUCAAGUCAGCUGUGAAAUCUCCGAGCUUAACUCGGAACGGUCAGCUGAUACUGUUUUGCUAGAGUGCAGAAAGGGCAAUCGGAAUUCUUGGUGUAGCGGUGAAAUGCGUAGAUAUCAAGAGGAACACCUGAGGCGAAGGCGGGUUGCUAGGCUGACACUGACGCUGAGGCGCGGAAGCCAGGGGAGCGAACGGGA
rnacentral:rRNA from 1 species